rfam:Rhizopogon vesiculosus strain AM-OR11-056 contig9749, whole genome shotgun sequence.
GGCCGACUAGCUCAGUUGGUUAGAGCGUCGUGCUAAUACAAUCACGUAGGUAGCUUCUGUUCACCCUGGGGCUCGCCAUCGUGGUUGCUACGCGAAGGUCUUGGGUUCGAUCCCCACGUUGGCCA